rnacentral:lncRNA from 1 species
ACAAUGCGUAGUAUUUACAUAUAAAUGAAAAUGUUAAUAUAUAUUGCAAGCUGUAAAUGAGUUUAUGUUGCGAGCUGUCGAUAUUACAUGUGCUAACACUAUACUAUAUAGUUCAAUUGGCGAUUGUAUUCGGAUGCAGAUUUUAUUACAUGGACGUAGCAAAGUCGCUUAAAUGAAUCUAAAAGUCGGAGUCACUGAGCGCAGUUGAAGGGUCUUUUCCUAGACAAAUUAUAAAUAACGAUUCAUCACUACAUUCACUGAGUUCAACAUAGAGAUCGAGAGAAAAGUUUUCUAUUAUUACGUCUAGCCAAGUACUGUACAUAUUUGAUGUGCACGUACAGCCAAAGCAUGC